rnacentral:misc_RNA from 1 species
GAUGAAAACGCAGCGAAAUGCGAUAAGUAAUGUGAAUUGCAGAAUUCAGUGAAUCAUCGAAUCUUUGAACGCACAUUGCGCCCCUUGGUAUUCCGAGGGGCAUGCCUGUUCGAGCGUCAUUAUAACCCCUCAAGCUCAGCUUGGUGUUGGGGCCUGCUGCACUGGCAGCCCUUAAAAUCAGUGGCGGCGCCAUCUGGCUCUAAGCGUAGUAAUUCUUCUCGCUAUGGAGUCCUGGUGGAUGCUUGCCAUCAACCCCCAAUUUUUCUAUGGUUGACCUCGGAUCAGGUAGGGAUACCCGCUGAACUUAAGCAUAUCAAUAAGCGGAGGA